rnacentral:misc_RNA from 1 species
GGAAAACGAAAGAAAAAAACAAUUAAGAUUCGUCAACACAGUAACGAUAAUACAUGUAAACAAAACCAGUUACACCAUAAAUCAUUAUUGGAAAGAAAACAAAGGAAAGAAAAACUUUAUUUCUACAUACAUAUUACAGCAAUAGCAUGGCCUGAAGGCCCAGAAAUAAACCCUUCGCAUAGGAUGGACCUGUUGUCAUCAUGCUGAACUUCAAUCUAGUAUCUAUAUGCUGUCCUCUUCAUCAUCCUGAAGAAAUCAUCAAUACCCACUUCUCUAUCACCAUCUCGGUCUGCUUCAUCAAUCAUCUCUUGAAUAUCUCUGUCAGUGAAGUUCUCACCCAGCUCCUUUGCUAUUCGCUUAAUAUCAUCAUGAGAUAUCUUUCCCUGAAUCAAGUGAACAAAAGAAUAAGUGCUCAACAAAUAGAAAAACAAGGACGGACAAAUUAAGAAAAUCCCACAUUGUUAUCUUGGUCAAUAAUGCGGAAUGCUUUCAUGAGCUCCUCUUUAGUAUCCCUUUCUCCAAUCUUGGCCGUCAUCAUAUGCUCAAAUUCAUCAUAAUCAAUUGCACCACUGCCAUCCUUGUCCACAUCUGCAAUCAUUUGGUUGAUUUGCUGCAAUGACCCAUUUAAAUAAUAUGUAAACUGUAUAGUCGAGUUUGGAAAGAAAUUUGGAACAAAGAGGAAUCUAUCAUGCUCACAAAUAGAGAAGAAGGUAAAUCAGGUAGGAAUUUUCUUAUUUCUUAUAUGUCCAAAAAAAAAAACAGUGAUUAGCAAAGAUAUUACAAAAAAGAAGAGCAUUCUAAAACAAGGCAGGAGAAAUGAACACGUCAACAUGUUCAUAUACUAGGAUAUAGAAGGUACCUCUUCUGUCAUUUCGAAACCGAGCGCCCUGUUAUAAGAUGAUUUUAGUUCCAAUAUUUUCAUGGCUCUAAAUUCUAAACUAAGACAAUAUUAUAAAUCUGAUGGGAUAUUCAUACCUCAUGGCAACAUUCAACUCCUUGGCAUCAAUAGUGCCUGGACAACAUAGUCUAACAAAUAAAUAAGAAAAUCAAGUGCAUGAUAAAAACAUAUAGCAACAAAUGUUUGCAGUACCUGAGCCAUCAGUAUCAAAUAGCUCAAAAGCUUCCCUAAUUUCUUGCCUCUUCUGUUGACUUAACCCAUGAUGACGUGCUCUGGGUUUGUAAUUGUCCUUCCUAGAUUGCCCUCUGUAAAGACUUGCCUGUAGAGGCAUAAUGCAUCUUCAUGAAAAUGUAUAAUCCAAAAAGUAAUUGUCUAACUUUUAUUGACAUUUGAAACAAGGAUUAAGGAACUGAUGUUCAAUUCUUGAAUAUUGAAGAAUGUAGCAUAAACAUAAUUAACUACGUAAAUAAUAACAGGCCUUUAAACAAUGAAAAAUUCAAUCAUUUUCAUUGCAGAAGGGCUUCAAAAGGGUUUUACAAAAAAAUAAAGAAUCUCAUCAGGCAAUGACUACUGACUAGAACCACAUAAUGGGUAACAGCAGUUUAACCUAAGUCAAGCACUGAAACAAAAAUCCAAUCCCUGGCUGAUAUUUCCAAAAUACAACCAAUUCCCCGCUUUGAAUUUUCUACCCAUAUAUUUACGAAUCCAAACGUAUAUAAGAAAAUCCACAAAAAUAUCACUUCUAACCAGAACCGAUCGAGUGAAAUUUUCAAGUUCCUAAUCAUCUAAAAGAUUCAAACAGUUUUAAGUUGGGUUUUAGAAACUAGCAAAAUCAUACAGAGAUUAAUUAGUAGAAAAAAUUAGCAAAAAUUAAAUUAGGGUUUCGAGUGAACAACAAACCAUUUGAUUUCCAGAGAAUACCAUGCUAUUCCUUACGCGCUCGAGAGAAAUCUUCAAAAAGGAGCCCGAAAUUCUUCUUU